rnacentral:rRNA from 1 species
UCCUACGGGGGGCAGCAGUGGGGAAUAUUGGGCAAUGGGCGCAAGCCUGACCCAGUAACGCCGCGUGAAGGAAGAAGGCUUUCGGGUUGUAAACUUCUUUUCUCAGGGACGAAUAGAUGACGGUACCUGAGGAAUAAGCCACGGCUAACUACGUGCCAGCAGCCGCGGUAAUACGUAGGUGGCAAGCGUUAUCCGGAUUUACUGGGUGUAAAGGGCGUGUAGGCGGGGAAGCAAGUCAGAUGUGAAAACCACGGGCUCAACCUGUGGCCUGCAUUUGAAACUGUUUUUCUUUAGUGCUGGAUAGG